GACGAACGCUGGCGGCGUGCUUAACACAUGCAAGUCUUAGGAGAACGUUUCUUCGGAAACAAGUAAACUGGCGAACGGGUGAGUAACGCGUAGACAAUCUGCCCUAUAGACUGGGAUAACGCCGUGAAAAUGGUGCUAAUACCAGAUGUUAUCGUAUCUCUCUGGAGAUAUGAUCAAAGGUGGCUUCGGCUAUCACUAAAGGAUGAGUCUGCGUCUGAUUAGCUUGUUGGUGGGGUAAAGGCCCACCAAGGCGACGAUCAGUAGCUGGUCUGAGAGGAUGAUCAGCCACACUGGGACUGAGAUACGGCCCAGACUCCUACGGGAGGCAGCAGUGGGGAAUUUUGUGCAAUGGGCGAAAGCCUGACGCAGCAACGCCGCGUGAUCGAAGAAGCUCUGCGGAGUGUAAAGAUCUGUCAUAAGGGAAGAAUAGUGAGUAUUCUAACAAAAUAUUCGCGUGACGGUACCUUAUAAGAAAGCCCCGGCUAACUUCGUGCCAGCAGCCGCGGUAAUACGAGGGGGGCAAGCGUUGUCCGGAAUCAUUGGGCGUAAAGGGUUCGUAGGCGGACUGAUCAGUUGGAAUUGAAAGACCACGGCUUAACCGGGGGAACGGUUUCAAUACUGUCAGUCUUGAGUGAGGUAGAGGUAAGCGGAAUUCCUGGUGUAGCGGUGAAAUGCGUAGAUAUCAGGAGGAACAUCAAAGGCGAAGGCAGCUUACUGGGCCUAUACUGACGCUGAGGAACGAAAGCGUGGGGAGCAAACAGGAUUAGAGACCCUGGUAGUCCACGCCGUAAACGAUGAGUACUUGGUGAUGGGGGAUUCGACCCCUUCAUUGCUGGAGCUAACGCAUUAAGUACUCCGCCUGGGAACUACGACCGCAAGGUUGAAACUCAAAGGAAUUGACGGGGACCCGCACAAGCGGUGGAUCAUGUGGUUUAAUUCGAUGCAACGCGAAGAACCUUACCUAGGCUUGACAUGUUAGUGAAAACUCUGUGAAAGCAGAGCCCUCUGCGAGCUUGCUCAAAGACACUAUCACAGGUGAUGCAUGGCUGUCGUCAGCUCGUGUCGUGAGAUGUUCGGUUAAGUCCGAUAACGAGCGCAACCCCUAUUCUUAGUUGCCAGCACGUAAUGGUGGGGACUCUAAGAAAACUGCCCGGGAUAACCGGAAGGAAGGUGGGGUCGACGUCAAGUCAGUAUGUCCCUUACGCCUAGGGCUACACACGUGAUACAAUGGGAAGUACAAAGGGUUGCGAUACCGCGAGGUGGAGCCAAUCCCAAAAAACUUCCCCAAGUUCAGAUUGCAGUCUGCAACUCGACUGCAUGAAGCAGGAAUCGCUAGUAAUCGUGGAUCAGAACGCCACGGUGAAUACGUUCCCGGGUCUUGUACACACCGCCCGUCACGCCAUGGAAGCCGGUAGUGCCCAACGCCAGUGUCCCAACCUUCGGGAGGGAACUGUCUAAGGUAAGAUCGGUAACUGGGGCGAAGUCGUAACAAGGUAGCCGUACCGGAAGGUGCGGCUGGAUUACCUCCUUUCUAAGGAGUAUUUCUACAUUUUUGUAGAAAGACGGUCGAACCUCAUUUGUUUAGGUCUCACACACGUACACACUCUCAUUUUUUAUCUUGGGUUUGUAGCUCAGUUGGUUAGAGCACCGCUCUGAUAAGGCGGGGGUCGGUAGUUCGAGUCUACCCAGACCCACUCUAUGAGUUGAGUGUUCUCAUGAUUACACCCUUUUAAUGGGGCUGUAGCUCAAUUGGGAGAGCAUCGCGUUUGCAACGCGAGGGUCGCAGGUUCGAUCCCUGUCAGCUCCACAUUAUUUAUAAUAAAAAUUUUGUAAUACCUGUUUUUUGAAAUUGUUAGUUCUGUUGUAAAGUCUGAAAGUCUAUCUGUAAUAAUAGAUAAAGCUUUGGUUAAGUUGUGUAGGGCGUACAGUGGAUGCCUUGGCAUAUGAAGUCGAUGAAGGACGUGGUAAGCUGCGAUAAGCUUCGGGGAGGUGCAAACAACCGUUCACCCGGAGAUUU
rnacentral:rRNA from 1 species